rnacentral:rRNA from 1 species
AACGAACGCUGGCGGCAUGCCUAACACAUGCAAGUCGAACGAGACCUUCGGGUCUAGUGGCGCACGGGUGCGUAACGCGUGGGAACCUGCCCUUAGGUUCGGAAUAACUCCCCGAAAGGGGUGCUAAUACCGGAUAAUGUCUUCGGACCAAAGAUUUAUCGCCUUUGGAUGGGCCCGCGUUGGAUUAGCUAGUUGGUAGGGUAAAAGCCUACCAAGGCGACGAUCCAUAGCUGGUCUGAGAGGAUGAUCAGCCACACUGGGACUGAGACACGGCCCAGACUCCUCCGGGAGGCAGCAGUGGGGAAUAUUGGACAAGGGGCGAAAGCCUGAUCCAGCAAGGCCGGGUGAGUGAUGAAGGCCUUAGGGUUGUAAAGCUCUUUUACCCGGGAUGAUAAGGACAGGACCGGGAGAAAAAGCCCCGGCUAACUCCGU